GAUGAACGCUGGCGGCGUGCCUAAUACAUGCAAGUCGAGCGAACGGACGAGAAGCUUGCUUCGCUGCUGUUAGCGGCGGACGGGUGAGUAACACGUGGAUAACCUACCUAUAAGACUGGGAUCACUUCGGGAAACCGUAGCUAAUACCGGAUAAUAUUUUGAACCGCAUGGUUCAUCAGUGAAAGACGGUCUUGCUGUCACUAAUAGAUGUAUCCGCGCUGCAUUAGCUAGUUGGUAAGGUAACGGCUUACCAAGGCAACGAUGCAUAGCCGACCUGAGAGGGUGAUCGGCCACACUGGAACUGAGACACGGUCCAGACUCCUACGGGAGGCAGCAGUGGGGAAUCUUCCGCAAUGGGCGAAAGCCUGACGCAGCAACGCCGCGUGAGUGAUGAAGGUCUUCGGAUCGUAAAACUCUGUUAUUAGGGAAGAACAGAUGUGUAAGUAUCUGUGCACGUCUUGACGGUACCUAAUGAGAAAGCCACGGCUAACUACGUG
rnacentral:rRNA from 1 species